GACGAACGCUGGCGGCGUGCUUAACACAUGCAAGUCGAACGGAAAGGCCCUGCUUUUGUGGGGUGCUCGAGUGGCGAACGGGUGAGUAACACGUGAGUAACCUGCCCUUGACUUUGGGAUAACUUCAGGAAACUGGGGUUAAUACCGGAUAGGAGCUCCUGCUGCAUGGUGGGGGUUGGAAAGUUUCGGCGGUUGGGGAUGGACUCGCGGCUUAUCAGCUUGUUGGUGGGGUAGUGGCUUACCAAGGCUUUGACGGGUAGCCGGCCUGAGAGGGUGAACGGCCACAAUGGGACUGAGAUACGGCCCAGAGUCCUACGUGGGGCAGCAGUGGGGAAUAUUGCACAAUGGGCGGAAGCCUGAUGCAGCAACGCCGCGUGCGGGAAGACGGCCUUCGGGUUGUAAACCGCUUUCGCCUGUGACGAAGCGUGAGUGACGGUAAUGAGUAAAGAAGCACCGGCUAACUACGUG
rnacentral:rRNA from 1 species